CACGUAGGGGGCGAGCGUUGUCCGGAUUUAUUGGGCGUAAAGAGCUCGUAGGCGGCUCAGUAAGUCGGGUGUGAAAACUCCAGGCUCAACCUGGAGACGCCACCCGAUACUGCUGUGGCUAGAGUCCGGUAGGGGAGCAUGGAAUUCCUGGUGUAGCGGUGAAAUGCGUAGAUAUCGGGAGGAACACCAGUGGCGAAGGCGACUACCUGGCCUGUUCUUGACGCUGAGGCGCGAAAGCUAGGGGAGCAAACGGG
rnacentral:rRNA from 1 species